GAUCCUGGCUCAGGACGAACGCUGGCGGCGUGCCUAACACAUGCAAGUCGAGCGGAGACAGUGAGUAGCUUGCUAUGAGCUGCUUUAGCGGCGGACGGGUGAGUAACGCGUGAGCAACCUUUCCCAGACAGGGGAAUAACACACCGAAAGGUGUACUAAUACCGCAUAAGACCACGGAAUCACAUGGUUCUGGGGUAAAAGAUUUAUCGGUUUGGGGUGGGCUCGCGUCCGAUUAGGUAGUUGGUGAGGUAACCGG
rnacentral:rRNA from 1 species